rnacentral:rRNA from 1 species
AACGAACGCUGGCGGCAUGCCUAACACAUGCAAGUCGAACGAGACCUUCGGGUAUAGUGGCGCACGGGAGCGUAACGCGUGGGAACCUGCCCUUAGGUUCGGAAUAACUCCCCGAAAGGGGUGCUAAUACCGGAUAAUGUCUUCGGGCCAAAGAUUUAUCGCCUUUGGAUGGGCCCGCGUUGGAUUAGCUAGUUGGUAGGGUAAAAGCCUACCAAGGCGACGAUCCAUAGCUGGUCUGAGAGGAUGAUCAGCCACACUGGGACUGAGACACGGCCCAGACUCCUACGGGAGGCAGCAGUGGGGAAUAUUGGACAAUGGGCGAAAGCCUGAUCCAGCAAUGCCGCGUGAGUGAUGAAGGCCUUAGGGUUGUAAAGCUCUUUUACCCGGGAUGAUAAUGACAGUACCGGGAGAAUAAGCUCCGGCUAACUCCGUG